AGGGUGGGUCAUUUUUUUCGAAAGUGUUUGGAUCCGGCUGAAAUAAGGGCCAUCUUGUAGAGGGUACCCAUAGGGACUCUCAUAUCAAGUUUGAGCGCAUUUGGUUGAAAACUGGCUUGUCGCUCGGGGGUUAAAGUUUACAUGGAAAUUACUAUGGGAAAUGCGUGAUUUUACUUCAAACGCUCCUACAAGCUAAGCGACAAACUUUAGUCCACACUUACACUAGGUAGCCGUGUCGGGGGUGGUCCAAGGAACAUUUUUCUCUAAGGGGUCAUGGUCAUCCGUUCAACCCUGAGCUUGCGCAUCGCAGAUUUAUCCGGCGACGCCGGAAUCUUUCAAAAUCUCAGUUUUAACGGUCAACGCAUGCUACAAACUAUGACAGAAGCAUCGUUUGAAUAAAUGGAAAACGCGACGCCAAACGUCAAGUCACUAAAAUCGAUGCAGUAAACAACGGUUCGCCGUUCGCUGGUUCGCCGGCAAAAACUCUUAAAGCAGACCAAAUCAAUACAGAAAGGACGUGGUGCGCAUCAUCAUCGCCUGACAACAUCACCAUCAACCAAUUUGUCGACCAGUAACUGAUCGAAUGUGCGGACAGUUCCCACCGGCAGCACGGACAGUUGAUCUCCUUUGGGAACCACACGUCGACAUUUCCGGCGGAAUUGUUGCGACUACUGGGAGCUAAUGUUUGUGAUAAAUCGAGAAAGAUGCUGCUAAGAAACUAAUUCGUUCGAAAGACAACAAAAGCGCUUCUCUAGGAGGUGCUAAAGAACAAACUGCUAAUUUCGCAAUAGAAAUUAAUGCCAAACAAGAGAUGCAAGUGCUAACAGGAAACCACGUCGGGCCACAUUGAUCGAUUGCGCCAGGAAAAUGACCGACACCGCAAGCAGGCCAAAAUAUUAUUCGCCUAAAAAGCAUUUCAAUCAACUCCAAGCACCAUCGAGACUAGCAAGAUGCAGAUGUGCAAGUUAUUCGCGAAGGAGAGAUCAGGAAGUGGGUUAUGUGGCGCUGGCAAGAC